rnacentral:tRNA from 1 species
GCCGCCGUAGCUCAGCUGGCAGGGUGUUUCCACACGCCAAAAGCGAUCGCCUCGUAUCCCAGUGGGAUAGCGAUAGGUCGUGGGUUCAAUCCCCACCGGCGGCU